GACGAACGCUGGCGGCGUGCUUAACACAUGCAAGUCGAACGGAAAGGCCCUGCUUUUGUGGGGUGCUCGAGUGGCGAACGGGUGAGUAACACGUGAGUAACCUGCCCUUGACUUUGGGAUAACUUCAGGAAACUGGGGCUAAUACCGGAUAGGAGCUCCUGCUGCAUGGUGGGGGUUGGAAAGUUUCGGCGGUUGGGGAUGGACUCGCGGCUUAUCAGCUUGUUGGUGGGGUAGUGGCUUACCAAGGCUUUGACGGGUAGCCGGCCUGAGAGGGUGACCGGCCACAUUGGGACUGAGGUACGGACCAGACUCCUACGGGAGGCAGCAGUGGGGAAUAUUGCACAGUGGGCGGAAGCCUGAUGCAGCAACGCCGCGUGCGGGAUGACGGCCUUCGGGUUGUAAACCGCUUUCGCCUGUGACGAAGCGUGAGUGACGGUAAUGGGUAAAGAAGCACCGGCUAACUACGUG
rnacentral:rRNA from 1 species